CCUACGGGAGGCAGCAGUGAGGAAUAUUGGUCAAUGGACGCAAGUCUGAACCAGCCAUGCCGCGUGCAGGAAGACGGCUCUAUGAGUUGUAAACUGCUUUUGUACGAGGGUAAACGCAGAUACGUGUAUCUGUCUGAAAGUAUCGUACGAAUAAGGAUCGGCUAACUCCGUGCCAGCAGCCGCGGUAAUACGGAGGAUUCAAGCGUUAUCCGGAUUUAUUGGGUUUAAAGGGUGCGUAGGCGGUCGGAUAAGUUAGAGGUGAAAUCCCGAGGCUCAACUUCGGAAUUGCCUCUGAUACUGGUCGGCUAGAGAGCAGUUGCGGUAGGCGGAAUGUAUGGUGUAGCGGUGAAAUGCUUAGAGAUCAUACAGAACACCGAGUGCGAAGGCAGCUUACCAAGCUACUUCUGACGUUGAGGCACGAAAGCGUGGGGAGCGAACAGGAUUAGAUACCCCUGUAGUC
rnacentral:rRNA from 1 species